GACGUAGGGCGCGAGCGUUGUCCGGAAUUAUUGGGCGUAAAGAGCUCGUAGGCGGUGUGUCGCGUCGGCCGUGAAAACCUGCAGCUUAACUGUGGGCGUGCGGUCGAUACGGGCAUCACUGGAGUUCGGCAGGGGAGACUGGAAUUCCUGGUGUAGCGGUGAAAUGCGCAGAUAUCAGGAGGAACACCGGUGGCGAAGGCGGGUCUCUGGGCCGAUACUGACGCUGAGGAGCGAAAGCGUGGGGAGCGAACAGG
rnacentral:rRNA from 1 species